CUCAGUUCAGAGGAGAGAUGCAGAGCGACAGAGACACUCUAUCUAACGCGAGAGUGUUUAAUUUGAUUAAAUAUGACUGCUUAGUUCAUAUAAACUGAAGAAAUCAGAAUUUAACUUGCAUAUAUUCAAUGAUACAGCGUGAUUGUGUGGAUUGAGCACUUUUUGAGCUUUCAUUUUGACCUGUGUGAUUAUGUAAAACCACAUGGUGCGUUGUGUUCACUGCUGUUCGCUGACGCCAUUUUGGUUGCACGUGCCUGUGAAAGACAAAAAGAGAGAGAAACACGUGAAUGGACAGCUGGAUUUUCCUAAUUGAUGGCGAGCCUCCCAUUUCGACCUGAUUGGAUCACGAAUCUAGAGGAAAGGACAAUUUUCUAUUUUAACAUAUUUUUCUUCAGACAAGUAAGAGGAUAUAUUUCAGAAACUGUUUCCUUAUUUUGUUUGUUUACUUUAUUGAACUGAAACAUUUCAUAAGCACAAUUCUGAUAAUUUAAGACUGAUCAAUACUCCAAUUGAUAAGAACUUUGAACUUGAAUACUGAUUUCAGUGUAUUACAUAUAUAAUUUGUACCAUCCUUGUACAUUGAUUGUGACUGUGAUUUCUUUGUGAUUAAGGAAAAAUAAAGAAAAAGAAAGGUUUCUCAAUACUCAAAGUAAAAUAAUUUAUUAAUCAACUUACCU